GGAGAGGUGGCUGAGCGGUUGAAAGCGGCAGUCUUGAAAACUGUUGUGGAGGCAACUCCACCCAGGGUUCGAAUCCCUGCCUCUCCG
rnacentral:tRNA from 1 species